AAGCACUCAAUAAAAUGUCUAGACAUACAUUCAUGAUAUAGGAAGAUGUUAUUGGCAUGUUAUUUUUCAGUGUUUUGUAGCUAUCUAAGGGCCAUAACCUAUACCCACUAACAUUUCAUGAGAACAUGUGAUUAGGCGAGCAGGCGAUAGGGGUGUCAGUUAACUUCUAAUGGGUGCUAACCUGUCACAUCAAGUAUUUAAUCACAGAAAACAAGCCCUUCUGUCACCCUCUCUUCCCUUCUUCUCCUUGGUUCCUUAAUGGCCACGCAAGCCAAGCAAGACGGGAGAGUCGAUCAAGUUCUCCAAUUCUUGUUCCCACUUUGGUUCGACAAUCUCUUCAGCAAUCAACCUGCGAACUACUCUUAUAGUCCAUGACUGGCAGGUUUCCCGGACUUGAGCCUGAGUUGGGGCGCGCGGGGGGGGUUCUUGGGUGGCCCAAUAUUCAACACGUUGGACAGUCUGCUCGUUAAGCUUUGCAAUUUGGUGAAUAUCGCGG
rnacentral:sRNA from 2 species